GUAAGGAAUCUUCCACAAUGGACGAAAGUCUGAUGGAGCAACACCGCGUGCAGGAUGACGGCCUUCGGGUUGUAAACUGCUUUUAUAUGGGAAGAUUAUGACGGUACCAUAUGAAUAAGGACCGGCUAACUACGUGCCAGCAGCCGCGGUAAUACGUAGGGUCCAAGCGUUAUCCGGAAUCACUGGGCGUAAAGCGUGCGUAGGUGGCGUGUUAAGUGUGAUGUUAAAUCGUGGGGCUCAACCCUGUCGGUGCAUCACAUACUGGCAUGCUAGAGGACAGCAGAGGCAAGUGGAAUUUGUAGUGUAGCAGUGAAAUGCGUAGAUAUUACAAGGAACACCAAUGGCGAAGGCAGCUUGCUGGGCUACUCCUGACACUGAGGUACGAAAGCGUGGGGAGCGAACAGGAUUAGAUACCCUUGUAGUCC
rnacentral:rRNA from 1 species